AAUUAGUUUUUUAAUUGGAAAAUAGAAUGAACGGUUUCACUAAAAUAAAGUAUUUAUUCCAUGUUGCGAAAUUUUACUCUGAGUGAAAAUACUCAGCAGAUAUAUUUAGACGAGAAGACCCUAUGAAGCUGCUAGGCCAAAAAGAUAAUUAUUUCAUAGUUGCAGGCUUAUUUUUUGGGGUAAAAUUUAAUAAAAGUAUUAGUAUUAAUUUUCUUAAUUGUAUCCUCUGGGAAAUAUGAAGAAGCUCCUCUAGGGAUAACAGCAUUAUACCUAAAAGAGUUCUCAUCAGAAUAGGUGU
rnacentral:rRNA from 1 species